GCGUCUUCGUUGCGCGCUCCCGGAGAGGCGGCCAGGGUGAAGGCGGGUGAACGCGCUGGGGGUGGGGGUGAGGUCGGCAAAGGGGUCCCAGCUGGGCGGCCCUGCUCUGACGGUGCGUUGCCCCAACUCAGGUCCUGGGGGGACGACAGGAAAUGGUUCGAGGUCUGGGAUGAAGACACUGUGGGGACGUUUUCAAACUUGGACUCGGAGAACAACCGAACAGGGCAGAAGCGAACUUCGUGUACCUGGAGCAGGGAGUCUCCCCUUCCCUGGGAACCUCCUGAAGACGGCCCAGGUCCUGGACUGGCCAUCCCUACAAGACAGGCACCGCGACACAGGAGCCCCCCUGCCAGGCCUUGCCUUCCCCACCUUUCUUGCCCCUUCUCUCCUCUCUUUCCUCCUGUUCCUUUUUCUCUCUCUCUAGUCAAGGAUGAAUACCUCCAGGCGGCCUUGAAGAAUGUGGACACCAAUGUGAGGGUGCACAUCCAGAGACCUGAGGUGGCCUCGCCCUUGCCGUCAGUCCUGCACUUCAUGAACCUCUACCCUGCCUCGGACAGUGAGAAGAAACUGAACCACAUCUAUUUCAAGGGAUUGCCCAAGGACUCAUGCAGCUCUGUCUCCUGGUUUCCUGGAGCAAAAUCAGACUAUCUCCCCGACCCUCAUCCUUCUCCCCACUUGGGUGAAACUCACCUGGAGAUCCAGUUCAAAUCCAGACUCUUCUACUGUGGGACCUUGGUCAAGUCAGUAACUUCUCUGAACCUGCAAAAUGAGUAGAGCAUACUUGUCCUGAUAUCUCGUAGUUACUGUGAAAACCAGAGGUGUUGUAAGAUCUCUAUCCCAGUGCACCUCCUGUAUCAGCCCUGUGCUUAUAGGUGGUCUCUCUCAGAUCCCCAGCCCCAGAUCCUUCCAGGGACUCAGACCUCGGUCUCUGUUCUCUCCUGCGGUCUCUGUUCUCUCAUGCGCAUCCCUGUGCCUGUUCCCCACCUGCAUCUAUAACCAUCCUCCUACCUGCUCCUUGCUCCCACCUUCAAAUCUUCUCCCCCUGUGAACCCACUUCUUAAAUCACUCCCCAUCCCAGUGCCCAGCCCCAAGUCUGUUCCCAUUUGUUUCCGCCCCCAUUCUUAUAAUCUCAGCCCUAAAUCUUUAUCCCUUCCCCCAUCCCAGGGCCCCAGUCUUAAAUCCUCCCUCCUCCCUCCACAUGCCAUUCCCAGCUAGGUAUGGAUGUCCUCUGCCUCUCAAGUCCCCUAGCUGGUGCUUCCCAGGCCCUGGUCUGCCAUUCUGAGGCCCCAUUCCCCCUUCUUGCUCUGAAGGGCCUGGAUCUCAGUUUUCUGGGGCCUCAACGGGAAGCAGAAGCAGGGCCCUGAGGUGGAGAAGCCCCCUCAGCCCUUUGUCCUCAUUCCCCCUUCCCUCUGAUCCCCUAUGACCUCACCCUCCCCACCACUCCCCUUUCCUCUCUUGGCCUCACCCCCAUGGCUGCAGUAACCUCAGAGGUCAGAAGUCCCCAGCCCUCUUCACAGGAACAUGUCUUUUGGGGAAGAAAGUCUUGCAGCCUCCAGUUCUCCCAUGUGAACACA
rnacentral:lncRNA from 1 species